UAAUGCCUCUGGUCAGCCUGAGCUCCUUGAAGCCAUCUUGCUGUAAGUGACUGUAGCAUUCUGCGAUGGGGCUGUGCAUGUCCUGGCUUGUUACCACAUGCAGCGAAGAGAAAGUGGCAAGCUUUCUCUGCAUAAAGCAAAGCUGAGCCUGUAGUUUUUUGUGUGAUCUAACGUGGGACAGUAAGCUGGAAACUUAUCAUUCAUGUAGAAGCCCUAAUAUGCAGCAUCUUGAUAUUUACCGUGGCUGGGGAGGAAAUGAACUUCAGAGCAUCAGCUUAAUCUUCUGCUAUAUUUUGUUCUCUACUACCACAAUUAUUCUCUGCCCUAUCUCCUACAGAGGCAUGUGGUAAUUCUGUUUGCCCUCCAGAAGAGUUGUGGAACUUACUUGGACUCACCUUUCUAGUGCGUGUUGCAUCAGAGAAGAAAAUAACUGUUAGGAAUAUUUAACAUUGCUAAACUAUUACUGUGAUUCAUAAAAAAUUCAUAUGUUGGCAAAGUGAACCAAUGCACCAGCUUGUUAGUGGUCAGAGAGUAAAUUUACCAAGCUCAUGCAGGCAAGUUCCUUCAUCUCAAGUGAGGACUACAAGGUAUACUCCAAGACCCAACU
rnacentral:lncRNA from 7 species